AAUCAACGCUGGCGGCGUGCCUAACACAUGCAAGUCGAACGAGAAAGUGGAGCAAUCCAUGAGUACAGUGGCGACCGGGUGAGUAACACGUGACUAACCUACCCUCGAGUGGGGGAUAACUCCGGGAAACCAGGGCUAAUACCGCAUAACAUCGCUUGGUGAAAUUCCUUGUGAUCAAAGGAGCAAUUCGUUUGAGGAGGGAGUCGCGUCUGAUUAGCUAGUUGGUGAGGUAACGGCCCACCAAGGCGAUGAUCAGUAGCCGGCCUGAGAGGGCGCACGGCCACACUGGAACUGAAACACGGUCCAGACUCCUACGGGAGGCAGCAGUGGGGAAUUUUGCGCAAUGGGGGAAACCCUGACGCAGCAACGCCGCGUGGAGGAUGAAGUCCUUUGGGAUGUGAACUCCUUUCGACCGGGAAGAUUAUGACGGUACCGGAGGAAGAAGCACCGGCUAACUCUGUGCCAGCCGCCGCCGUAAAAC
rnacentral:rRNA from 1 species